rnacentral:tRNA from 1 species
UCAGUUGGGAGAGCGUCGCCCUUACAAGGCGAAUGUCGGGAGUUCGAGCCUCUCCACGCC